GUUAGAGUCCUUACUCCUAGUUGCUAUCUUCGUUUCGAAACUGAUACGGAUCCAUUCUACAACGCAUCGAUGGUUGAAGCAGUACCCCAGCCACCAACACCACCAAUGCCACCGCCACCGUCACCGCAGCCGCCGGGUAAGGACUUUGUCUUUUUUUUUUUUUGGCCAGAGAUAUUUUCCGAUGAUAAGACCAUUUGUCACCACGGUAUUAUCCAAAUAAUAAGUUGGCCCCCACCAUUAGUAGAGGAUGGUUUCUGUCGUUUUAGAUUGAUUAGGAUAAAAGAUUGAGGACCAACUUACUCAAUUUUAAAGCUUGAGUCGCUUAAUCACUGAUUUUUAAGAAUAAAGUCAAUUAUGUCUUAAUUUAUUAGUUUGGCAAAUGAAACAAGCAAUUGUUUGGAAAGAACUUAUGAAACACGCCCUGAUGCGUCCUGAGCCGAAUGGGGUAAAAAAGCUCGCCUUGAACGGGUUGGUGGGGCAGGGCAAGGUAGGGCGAGAAUGCUCCGCCCCAAACUUGCCCCGUGAAGGAGAAAAAAAGAUUAAAAAUAAUUUUGGAUAGUUUACCCGUUAAAAAUUCAUUUUGAAUUUAUAUUUUAUUCCCUAAUAAUGACAUAAAUCGAAAUAUUGAAAAUGUAAAUAAAAUAAAAUAAAAUAAUACAUACAUACAUACAUACAUACAUACAUACAUACAUACAUACAUACAUACAUACAUAUAUAUAUAUAUAUAUAUAUAUAUAUAUAUAUAUANUCUUCUCAAGUUAAAUACCCGAAUGGGUAUCUGAAUCAAGAAUCGACGGGUACGGUUCGAUUCUCAGUUCUAGACCAAGAACCAAAUAUUCCUAAUUUUUUUUUAUAUUGAAUAAAUCAAAUUAUUUUAAUUUUUUCUAAACAAAUUAACAAAUUAGGUGAUUAAUUGAUACUUUAUCUCCUAAGCCCUAGCCUAGCUAGCUUGACCUAACCCAACCAAUUUCUAAAUCCAAUUUUUGGCCCUAUUAUUUGUUUAAUUUCUAAUUUUUUAAUUUUUAGCCCAAGUGCCAUUUUUAGUUUUUAUUCUUCCAUUUUUUAGCCCAACAUCCAAGUGAUCCAACCCACUAAUGACUAACCCUAAAUAAAUUACACACAUUAUCACCUACAAAUAACACAUCUGACAUUCCAAAACUCAAAUAGAUGUAUAGAACCUCCAACUCUGAGUCCGAAGCUAUGACCUCCGAGCUCCGAUGGGGAUCUUCGACCGUUGAUCAUUUGAAUAAGAUAGUGUGUAAGCUUCCUUAUAUGUGAUUGGUAAAUUAAUCUUGUUGGAAAACUUGUUAUAUACAUGUUAAAUUGGAUUACGUUAAUUUAUAAAAUUACGAUUGAGUGUGUUAUUAGUUGUAUUUAUGUAGUUAUAAAUGUUAAAAAAUUUAAUUAUAGUACAAAACCGAACAGAAUCGAAUCGAUCCGAACGGAAUCAAACCCGAACGGUUCCAUAAUUAUAUUUGGACCCGACGGUUCUAUUUACUAAAUACCCGAAAUUUUUGGUUCGGUUUAACUAUAUUUUUAAUAUUUUUAAAAGGGUAAAAUAGUAACUUUUCAUUUACUGCGUUAAAAUAAGUUUAAAAAAAUUAAAAAAGAAAACCCUCCUCUUUUUCCCGUCCCUUCCCCACCCAUACCCAAUUAAGUAGAAACUCCUCCCAAACGACAUCGUUGACUUGUCCAAUCGAGGCCGAGGGUAAAUACGAACCGGAGGAAGAUUGUGUCAACGAUGAGGCGAAAACCCACAAAGAGAUGGGCAUCAACAACUACGUUUAUUCUUCAGAUUUUUAGCCUGCAUCAAUGUCAUUUUCUAUUCAAGAAACUUGCCCUAGAAUUGAAUCUGAGAGUCCUGGCAGCAAUUUUUAUAGUUUAAACAGCCAUCAAAAUCCCAGAAAGAAGUGCACCAAUGUACACCUUAGGAUGAUGAAGAAUUAGAGUUUCAAACCCCUUGCUUGUAGGAAGCCCCCUAAUCCUUUCAAGAACAAUAUGUGGAUGCUGGAGAAACCACAACCCUCGAUGAAUUCGUGCGUUCAUGGGUUGAUGAGGCUGAUAAUUGGGCAGUGAUGCAGUGGCAAAUCUAGAAUUUUGAGUGAGCACGGGCGGAUGUUGACCGUAAUAAAAUAUUAAAAAUUAAAUAUAAUAAUUAUUUCAAAAACAAUUGAACAUAUAUAUUUUUGUUAUAUUGAUAGGGUUUCCUAUAAUUCAAAGCAAAUAACAUAGGUUCGAAUCCUUUCAAUUGCAUUAAACCAACUAAAACAAAAUAUAUAUUAUUCUGUAAUGUUUUGUAUCAAAAGUCAUUGAGUGUCAUGGUGGUUUAACUAUCAAUAACUUUCAUGACCUGUCACAGGUUCAAAUCCCCACUCUCUUACAUUAGUUUUAGAGAAAAUUGAAGAAGUAUAAAAAUUGUGCAAUAAAUUUGGUUAGCAAAAUAUUCGAACCCUACACCUUUUGUUUUGAAAGUAGAGGCUCCAACCAAUUCAGCUGCUAGAGUUGAUUAGAAUAAAUAUGAAUUAUCAAAUAUAUAUAAAAUGUUUAUCUACUACUGUCAACAAAACAAAAAAACUCCCGGCGGAUCCAACUAGGGCGGCUGCCCUAGCUCGCCAUCAGCUGGAUCCGCCACUGCAGUGAUGAAGAAAUAGGUGAUUGGCAAUGGUCUUGAGAAGAGUGAGAAAGGAGUGAGAUGUGGGUUCUUCUUGGAUUCACAGUCUCAAGCUCAUCAAUCUGAUUACUAGGUCUAGGGGUUGGGGUAAGGGUAAAGGUGAGGGAGAAGAACUUUUUUUCCUUUUUAUUUUGUUUUCUUAUUUUUUUGUUGUAGUUUUUAUUUAAAUUUUUUAAUGUGCAAAAUAUAAAAUUAUCAUUUUGUCCUUUUAUAAUUGAUUAAUAUGUGGUCAAAGUCCAUUUUUUCGGUCAACUAAUAGAAACAUGGAUGGAAUCCAUUCAUUGGGGCUUCAUCUGUAACAUUUUGAAAAGUCUGGGAUGACGGUUACAACAAAUAAAAAGUUAACGGAAAGUUUGCAACUUUUUAAAAGGUUUCGGGCCUCAGCUACAAUUAUCCCCAAAAUAUAUAUGAAAUGGGAAAAAUACAACCCGAACUAUCAUUAUUGUCAUCGUUCCAAUUGCCGUGUGUCUAAUACUUGCUCUUUGCAUUGGCAUCUACUUAAAAACGAAAAAAAUGCGUAAACCAAGGGAAAAAGUUGAUC
rnacentral:lncRNA from 1 species